rnacentral:rRNA from 1 species
AUUGAACGCUAGCGGGAUGCUUUACACAUGCAAGUCGAACGGCAGCGCGGACUUCGGUCUGGCGGCGAGUGGCGAACGGGUGAGUAAUGUAUCGGAACGUGCCCAGUAGCGGGGGAUAACUACGCGAAAGCGUAGCUAAUACCGCAUACGCCCUACGGGGGAAAGCAGGGGAUCGUAAGACCUUGCACUAUUGGAGCGGCCGAUAUCGGAUUAGCUAGUUUGUUAGGUAACGGCUCACCAAGGCGACAAUCCGUAGCUGGUUUGAGAGGACGACCAGCCACACUGGAACUGAGACACGGCCCAGACUCCUACGGGAGGCAGCAGUGGGGAAUUUUGGACAAUGGGGGCAACCCUGAUCCAGCCAUCCCGCGUGUGAGAUGAAGGCCUUCGGGUUGUAAAGCACUUUUGGCGGGAAAGAAACGUCGCGGGCUAAUACCCCGUGGAACUGACGGUACCUGCAGAAUAAGCACCGGCUAACUACGUG